UCAGUUCUAGAACUCAACGGACAUUUGAGUAGCAUUAAGUAAUAGUAUUUAUAUGGUAUUAUAGAGUGAUUUUUCUCUCCUAUAGGAGAGCUUUGACCACUGCCCCACCACACCACCAAAUGAUUUACUGACUCUGUCUACUAGUCAUUAGCAUAAAUAUAUGCUUGAGCUAUCUCUAAUAGCAUGACAUGUUGAUGAAAUUCGUCCUCUAUCACUCAGUCUAUUUACCUACUGUACUGUGUGUGUGUUGGGCUAAAACAUCUCAUGUAUUGAUUUGGAGCAUUUAAAGAGCUCUUACCCACCAAAUAGUAGAUGUGGCAUAUGGAAAAGCUGACCGAAAACCAGCCCUGGAAGGACAGGGCAAUAACAUCCAAUUUGUGUUUUGUCACCCAGAAAUCCCUCUCACUCUUUUGCUCAAUGGCUCAGAAAUCCAUUGAAAACCUGGAACCGUGUGUGUUUGCAUUUGUGUGACCAGGCGGGAGCUAAAUGGCUUCUGUGGUAACACAACAUUAGACUCAACAUUUUGUGAGCUUCGAAAACACACACACAAAUGCACAAAGUCAAGGAGGCAAGCUUACCCUCAGUGCAUAAAUGCUUCAUAGGACCCAAAUAGGCAUCUUUUCAAAUGCCUGUGACCGCUGUGACUGAAUACAAAUAAUGCAAAGCUUUUGCUGGCUUUGUAUUCAAGCACGGCAUGAUAAGUUAAAAAAAUCACCGCCAUCUUCAUGAAGAUUAGAAUCAAUGCAAAGAUUAAAUCAUUUAGUAAUAUAUUAUGCAUGACGAUGAAUAUUUUAUUUGUUUUGGCUCUAAGUUUGUGCAAAAUUCAGAAUUGAAGAAUUGACUCCCCUUCGGUUCAUCAGUGUGAAACUGAAUUGAAUUGACUACACUUCCAGGAAAUUCGACAGAUGGUGGCGGUAAUGCACCAAAAAGUUGUUUGCCAACCGCCAAUAAACCUUAAUAGAAGAAGAAGACAUCAAGAAGAUCGAGGCAGACGUUAAAACUGCACGCUGUUAAAACUUCACCGAGAUCGGUGUUGGACCGGCGAACACUUAGGCCUAUGUUAUCAGAGGACUUGCUAACAUGAAGAAAACGGUCCAGAGGUUCCACCUAAGAGCCGGGACUGUCGAAUAGUAAGAGACAACGAAAAGGGGGGAACUGUCUUUAAGCUGUGGAGUCAGAUGGAGGGCUCGCAUUUACCUCAAAAACGGCAUUGCAGAAGACUCGAACAACUAGAACCAACUCAAGCACACAACGGUGACACACAUUUGUAAGACCUUUCCCUGUGAUAUAAAAUUUCCCUGUGGUAAUUAUUCAGAUUCUUCUCAUUCUCAUUGUGUAGCACUGUUUUAAGCUUAGUGAAUAUUAUGUACAGUAAGCACUAGAAGUAGAGACUUGUACUACUUGGGGUAGUUUUAAAUUAACUUUAAUUUUGCUUUUGAUGCAAAAAUUAUCAAAAGAAAAGAUGUAGUGUAGUAAAAGAUGUUUUGUGUAGUAAUUCAAUUGUUUUAAUAUGAAUAUUGUUUUAGUAGUGUUCAGGACAGUAAUUGUCUGUACAUCUAAAUCAGUUCUUUAAACUUUUUGUUGUCUAAGACCUUGAUAUUAUACCUUAAGGGAAAAAGAAAGAUAUUUAAU